GUGGGAGCUGGCUUGCCAGCGAUGGCGUGCUGUCAGUCAACGCCGAUGCUGAAUUUGAUGGCCUCAUCGCUGGCAAGCCAGCUCCCAC
rnacentral:misc_RNA from 1 species